AAUGGGCGCAAGCCUGAUGCAGCCAUGCCGCGUGUGUGAUGAAGGCCUUAGGGUUGUAAAACACUUUCAUCGGUGAAGAUAAUGACGGUAGCCGAAGAAGAAGCCCCGGCUAACUCCGUGCCAGCAGCCGCGGUAAUACGGAGGGGGCAAGCGUUGUUCGGAAUUACUGGGCGUAAAGCGCACGUAGGCGGACUGAUCAGUUGGGGGCGAAAUCCCGAGGCUUAACCUCGGAACUGCCUUCAAUACUGUCAGUCUUGAGAUCGGAAGAGGUGAGUGGAAUUCCUAGUGUAGAGGUGAAAUUCGUAGAUAUUAGGAAGAACACCAGUGGCGAAGGCGGCUCACUGGUCCGAUACUGACGCUGAGGUGCGAAAGCGUGGGGAGCGAACAGGAUU
rnacentral:rRNA from 1 species